rnacentral:rRNA from 1 species
AUUGAACGCUGGCGGCAUGCCUUACACAUGCAAGUCGAACGGCAGCACGGGAGCAAUCCUGGUGGCGAGUGGCGGACGGGUGAGUAAUGUAUCGGAACGUGCCCAGUCGUGGGGGAUAACGUAGCGAAAGCUACGCUAAUACCGCAUACGAUCUAUGGAUGAAAGCGGGGGACCGUAAGGCCUCGCGCGAUUGGAGCGGCCGAUAUCAGAUUAGGUAGUUGGUGGGGUAAAGGCCUACCAAGCCGACGAUCUGUAGCUGGUCUGAGAGGACGACCAUCCACACUGGGACUGAGACACGGCCCAGACUCCUACGGGAGGCAGCAGUGGGGAAUUUUGGACAAUGGGCGCAAGCCUGAUCCAGCAAUGCCGCGUGCAGGAUGAAGGCCUUCGGGUUGUAAACUGCUUUUGUACGGAGCGAAAAGGCUCUCUCUAAUACAGGGGGCUCAUGACGGUACCGUAAGAAUAAGCACCGGCUAACUACGUGCCAGCCGCCGCGGUAA